AACUUUUUUGAGUUAAGACGAGGAUAAACUUAAUGAAUCCAUACUGUGAGCGGAUAGGGAAACUGAUAAAAAAGCUGGCGAUAUUUUGUGCCUGACUCAACAUAUUUUUCACUGGAAGAAUUGAACACGCUUUGGCAACAAUAAGGUUUAAACGAUGACUGGAGUAAUGAACAUGCAACGCCUUCGGGUUUUUCUCUAAUAUUCUCCCAGAAAUACCUUUUACCUGGCUGGACACAGCACUAGCACCGUCAUAUCCCUGGCCUCGACAAUUUUGAAGGGAAGCCCGACAUCUUGAAGUGUACUUUGACUAAUGAACGGAAUCAAAUCCAAAGGCGAAACAGUUCGGUAUACAAAUGAAAAUGUUCUUGAAUCAUGUAAAACUUCAAAUUUAUUCAAGAAUGUAUUAAAUUAUCCAGAAAGUAUAAGCUUGGAGUUAUCAUUAAAAAGUGCCUUGCACCAGAUAUUUUCAAUAAUUAGCUAUCGAGACCAUCCUCAGUUGU